GACGAACGCUGGCGGCGUGCUUAACACAUGCAAGUCGAACGAUGAAAGUGGAGCUUGCUCCGCUGGAUUAGUGGCGAACGGGUGAGUAACACGUGGGCAACCUGCCCCAGACUCUGGGAUAACUCCUCGAAAGAGGUGCUAAUACCGGAUACGAACUCCUUGGGCAUCCUUGGAGUUGGAAAGUUUUUCGGUCUGGGAUGGGCCCGCGGCCUAUCAGCUUGUUGGUGGGGUAGUGGCCCACCAAGGCGACGACGGGUAGCCGGCCUGAGAGGGCGACCGGCCACACUGGGACUGAGACACGGCCCAGACUCCUACGGGGGGCAGCAGUGGGGAAUAUUGCGCAAGGGGCGAAAGCCUGACGCAGCGACGCCGCGUGAGGGAUGACGGCCUUCGGGUUGUAAACCUCUUUCAGCAGGGAAGAAGCGAAAGUGACGGUACCUGCAGAAGAAGCACCGGCUAACUACGUGCCAGCAGCCGCCGUAA
rnacentral:rRNA from 1 species